rnacentral:rRNA from 1 species
UCAUUAAAUCAGUUAUCGUUUAUUUGAUAGUACCUUACUACUUGGAUAACCGUGGUAAUUCUAGAGCUAAUACAUGCUAAAAACCCCGACUUCGGAAGGGGUGUAUUUAUUAGAUAAAAAACCAAUGCCCUUCGGGGCUCUUUGGUGAUUCAUAAUAACUUAACGAAUCGCAUGGCCUUGUGCCGGCGAUGGUUCAUUCAAAUUUCUGCCCUAUCAACUUUCGAUGAUAAUGUAUUGGAUUAUCAUGGUUUCAACGGGUAACGGGGAAUUAGGGUUCUAUUCCGGAGAGGGAGCCUGAGAAACGGCUACCACAUCCAAGGAAGGCAGCAGGCGCGCAAAUUACCCAAUCCCGACACGGGGAGGUAGUGACAAUAAAUACUGAUACAGGGCUCUUUUGGGUCUUGUAAUUGGAAUGAGUACAAUUUAAAUCCCUUAACGAGGAACAAUUGGAGGGCAAGUCUGGUGCCAGCAGCCGCGGUAAUUCCAGCUCCAAUAGCGUAUAUUAAAGUUGUUGCAGUUAAAAAGCUCGUAGUUGAACCUUGGGCCUGGCUGGCCGGUCCGCCUCACCGCGUGCACUGGUCCGGCCGGGUCUUUCCUUCUGGGGAACCGCAUGCCCUUCACUGGGUGUGUCGGGGAUCCAGGACUUUUACUUUGAAAAAAUUAGAGUGUUCAAAGCAGGCCUAUGCUCGAAUACAUUAGCAUGGAAUAAUAGAAUAGGACGUUGUGGUUCUAUUUUGUUGGUUUCUAGGACCGCCGUAAUGAUUAAUAGGGAUAGUCGGGGGCAUCAGUAUUCAAUUGUCAGAGGUGAAAUUCUUGGAUUUAUUGAAGACUAACUACUGCGAAAGCAUUUGCCAAGGAUGUUUUCAUUAAUCAGUGAACGAAAGUUAGGGGAUCGAAGACGAUCAGAUACCGUCGUAGUCUUAACCAUAAACUAUGCCGACUAGGGAUCGGGCGAUGUUAUCUUUUUGACUCGCUCGGCACCUUACGAGAAAUCAAAUCAAAGUCUUUGG